rnacentral:rRNA from 1 species
GAGACAGAACCGGGCCUUACGGGCGGCAGCAGGCGGCGAAAACUUCGCAAUGCCGGAAAGCGGGACGAGGGGAACCGAGUGCCUCUUCAUUUCGGGGAGGCUUUCACAAGCCUAAAAAGCUUGUGGAAUAAGGGCUGGGCAAGACGGGUGCCAGCCGCCGCGGUAAUACCCGCAGCUCGAGUGGUGGUCGCUUUUAUUGAGAUAAACGUUCGUAGUCGGCGUGUAAAUCCCUGGGUAAAUGGGGCCGCUUAACGGUUCAAAUUCCGGGGAGACUGCAAGGCUAGGGACCGGGCGAGGUCAGAGGUACUUUCGGGGUAGGAGUGAAAUCCUGUAAUCCCGAAGGGACCACCUGUGGCGAAAGCGUCUGACUUGAACGGCUCCGACGAUGAGGAACGAAGGCUAGGGGAGCAAACCGGAUUAGAUACCCGGGUAGUCCUAGCUGUAAACUCUGCCCGCUUGGUGUGGCCUGUCCUUCGGGGGCAGGCCGUGCCGGAGCGAAGGUGUUAAGCGGGCUGCUUGGGGAGUACGGCCGCAAGGUUGAAACUUAAAGGAAUUGGCGGGGGAGCACCGCAACGGGAGGAUGCGUGCGGUUUAAUUGGAUUCAACGCCGGAAAACUCACCUGAGGAGACCAGCGUAUGUGGGUCAAGCCGAAGACUUUACCCGAACAACAGCUGGAGAGGUGGUGCAUGGCCAUCGUCAGCUCGUACCGUAGGGCAUUCACUUAAGUGUGAUAACGAGCGAGACCCCCAUCCCUAGUUGCUAACCCCUCCGAAAGGAGGGGUGCACUCUAGGGAGACCGCUUCCGCUAAGGAAGAGGAAGGAGGGGUCGACGGUAGGUCAGUAUGCCCCGAAUCCUCAGGGCAACACGCGCGCUACAAAGGACAGGACAAUGGGUUCCAACCCCGAAAGGGGAAGGUAAUCCCGAAACCUGUUCGUAGU